rnacentral:misc_RNA from 1 species
UUUCGGUAUCCUGUGUUGCUUACCCGCGGAAGGGAAAUCGUCCGUUUCGCCGUCCCUUUCCGCCCGACGCCCUCGGUGGGCGUGGGGCGGACGUGAGGCACGAUCCGUGGUCCCGGCACGUCCCGCUCGGGACUGCCUCGGCCCACGGCGUCGUCGCCCGUUCUCUCGGAUACGGAACGCCGUGCGCGGGCGCGGGGGUCUCGGCCUCCGCCAGCCCGAGCCACGCAUCCGUCCCUCGACGCGAACGACCGCCUCGACCGUCUCGACCUCGCGCGUGCCUUCUUCGGCCGGGCGCGGGUCGUGCGGGCGCGGGCGUCGCCGAGGAAUGCUACCUGGUUGAUCCUGCCAGUAGUCAUAUGCUUGUCUCA